rnacentral:rRNA from 1 species
UGAGGAACAUGACCUUCGGCGGGGGAUAGCCGGCCCAACGGCCGGGUAAUACCGCGUACGACCACAUGGGGACAUCCCUGAGUGGUGAAAGCAGCAAUGCGCCGAUGGAAUGCCUCGCGGCCUAUCAGCUAGUUGGUGAGGUAACGGCUCACCAAGGCGACGACGGGUANCUGGUCUGAGAGGAUGGCCAGCCACAUUGGGACUGAGACACGGCCCAGACCU